rnacentral:rRNA from 1 species
UUGGUGACCAGCGGAGGGAUCAUUACCGAGUUUACAACUCCCAAACCCAAUGUGAACGUUACCAAACUGUUGCCUCGGCGGGAUCUCUGCCCCGGGUGCGUCGCAGCCCCGGACCAAGGCGCCCGCCGGAGGACCAACCAAAACUCUUAUUGUAUACCCCCUCGCGGGUUUUUUUUAUAAUCUGAGCCUUCUCGGCGCCUCUCGUAGGCGUUUCGAAAAUGAAUCAAAACUUUCAACAACGGAUCUCUUGGUUCUGGCAUCGAUGAAGAACGCAGCGAAAUGCGAUAAGUAAUGUGAAUUGCAGAAUUCAGUGAAUCAUCGAAUCUUUGAACGCACAUUGCGCCCGCCAGUAUUCUGGCGGGCAUGCCUGUCCGAGCGUCAUUUCAACCCUCGAACCCCUCCGGGGGGUCGGCGUUGGGGAUCGGCCCUGCCUUGGCGGUGGCCGUCUCCGAAAUACAGUGGCGGUCUCGCCGCAGCCUCUCCUGCGCAGUAGUUUGCACACUCGCAUCGGGAGCGCGGCGCGUCCACAGCCGUUAAACACCCAACUUCUGAAAUGUUGACCUCGGAUCAGGUAGGAAUACCCGCUGAACUUAAGCAUAUCAAUAAGGCGGAGG